rnacentral:rRNA from 1 species
GAUGAACGCUGGCGGCGUGCCUAAUACAUGCAAGUCGAGCGAACAGACGAGGAGCUUGCUCCUCUGACGUUAGCGGCGGACGGGUGAGUAACACGUGGAUAACCUACCUAUAAGACUGGGAUAACUUCGGGAGACCGGAGCUAAUACCGGAUAAUAUAUUGAACCGCAUGGUUCAAUAGUGAAAGACGGUUUUGCUGUCACUUAUAGAUGGAUCCGCGCCGCAUUAGCUAGUUGGUAAGGUAACGGCUUACCAAGGCAACGAUGCGUAGCCGACCUGAGAGGGUGAUAGGCCACACUGGAACUGAGACACGGUCCAGACUCCUACGGGAGGCAGCAGUAGGGAAUCUUCCGCAAUGGGCGAAAGCCUGACGGAGCAACGCCGCGUGAGUGAUGAAGGUCUUCGGAUCGUAAAACUCUGUUAUUAGGGAAGAACAAAUGUGUAAGUAACUAUGCACGUCUUGACGGUACCUAAUCAGAAAGCCACGGCUAACUACGUG